rnacentral:rRNA from 1 species
AUUGAACGCUGGCGGCAGGCCUAACACAUGCAAGUCGAGCGGAUGACGGGAGCUUGCUCCUUGAUUCAGCGGCGGACGGGGGAGUAAUGCCUAGGAAUCUGCCUGGUAGUGGGGGACGACGUGUCGAAAGGAACGCUAAUACCGCAUACGUCCUACGGGAGAAAGCAGGGGACCUUCGGGCCUUGUGCUAUCAGGUGAGCCUAGGUCGGAUUAGCUAGUUGGUGGGGUAAUGGCUCACCAAGGCGACGAUCCGUAACUGGUCUGAGAGGAUGAUCAGUCACACUGGAACUGAGACACGGUCCAGACUCCUACGGGAGGCAGCAGUGGGGAAUAUUGGACAAUGGGCGAAAGCCUGAUCCAGCCAUGCCGCGUGUGUGAAGAAGGUCUUCGGAUUGUAAAGCACUUUAAGUUGGGAGGAAGGGCAGUAAGUUAAUACCUUGCUGUUUUGACGUUACCGACAGAAUAAGCACCGGCUAACUCUGUGCCAGCAGCCGCGGUAA